ACUGAGAACUUUUCUGUUUCAAAAUUGAACAUGCCAUCCUCUAAUUGGCUGGAAAUUAGCAAGUUCCAUAAAAAAUAAAAUUUGUUUCGUUGCUUUUUAUCUUUUAAUUGGGUGCCAUAAAAGCCAAAAAAAAUUUUAUAUAUACAUAUAUAUUUCAGCUUCAGACAUUUCUUUUAGGCAAGUUUUAUAGACAGUUAAUAUGGAUCUUUCAGCAUGAGAAUUGUGCUUGUCAGAAUAUUCCCAUGGUCAAGAUCAUGUACCUUGGCCACACACCAUGAUGAAAUAUGCAAAAACUUGAUAAUCAGUACAUAACACUAUCAUUGAUUUUUAUAGUACUAACAGUCAUCAUUUGAGAGUACAAACUGAUCAAGACUGUAGAGUACGCUAUGCGCCAUAACAACAUUCUUAUUCCCCUCAACUUCCUAAUCUGCUUGUACUCACUAGUCACUACCUUGUUAGUUAUUAGGAUCAUAUGAAAUAAGCAUGGUAGUUUAAGGGCUCAUUCACAAAUGCCUUGACUUGUUCAACUUAAAUCA
rnacentral:misc_RNA from 1 species